CCUACGGGGGGGCAGCAGUGGGGAAUAUUGGACAAUGGGGGCAACCCUGAUCCAGCCAUGCCGCGUGUGUGAAGAAGGCCCUCGGGUUGUAAAGCACUUUCAGUGAGGAAGAACGCCUGGUGGUUAAUACCCAUCAGGAAAGACAUCACUCACAGAAGAAGCACCGGCUAACUCCGUGCCAGCAGCCGCGGUAAUACGGAGGGUGCGAGCGUUAAUCGGAAUUACUGGGCGUAAAGCGCGCGUAGGUGGCUUGAUAAGCCGGUUGUGAAAGCCCCGGGCUCAACCUGGGAACGGCAUCCGGAACUGUCAAGCUAGAGGGCAGGAGAGGAAGGUAGAAUUCCCGGUGUAGCGGUGAAAUGCGUAGAGAUCGGGAGGAAUACCAGUGGCGAAGGCGGCCUUCUGGACUGACACUGACACUGAGGUGCGAAAGCGUGGGUAGCAAACAGGAUUAGAUACCCGGGUAGUC
rnacentral:rRNA from 1 species